rnacentral:rRNA from 1 species
UACGUAGGGGGCAAGCGUUUGUCCGGAUUUAUUGGGCGUAAAGAGCUCGUAGGCGGUUUCGUAAGUCGGAUGUGAAAACUCCAGGCUCAACUUGGAGACGCCAUUCGAUACUGCGAUGACUUGAGUCCGGUAGGGGGAGUGUGGAAUUCCUGGUGUAGCGGUGAAAUGCGCAGAUAUCAGGAGGAACACCAGUGGCGAAGGCGGGACUCUGGGCCGAUACUGACGCUGAGGAGCGAAAAGCGUGGGGGAGCAAACAGG